UUGCCCUGGUUGUACGGCCCAGCCCCGGCCCCGCCUGCCGGGAGAGCGCCGCGCCGUCCGCCGGGCUCCUGAGGAGAAAAGGGGCGGGCGAGGCGUUUGAAAGUCACUGGGCGGCUCGGCGGGGAGAGAGAUCGGCGCGGCGGGCCGGGGGAGCAGCGCCCUGCCUCCUGCCCCGGGGGAGGCUGCCCCUGGGCUGGCCUCCCUCCCUCCCUCCCUGAGCGCGCCGCCGGCGGAGCCGGGCUCGCCCCCUCGGGAGGGCUGGCUGGCUGGUAACGACGGAGGGGGCAACACCCAGGGCCGGGGCAGGAAUGCGAAGGAGGAAAUCGGGGAUAAUGAUGGAGUGUGGCGGUGUUUGUGAUGUGAGGUCCUUUUGAAACCCUUAACGACUCUGAGGGCAAGGUUAGAAAAUAAAGUUUAUUUUCCUGCUAAAUGAAAGCCCGUCUGGGAGGAAGGUCGUCUUUUAGAAGAUUGAUGCCGUUGAAAGUCGGCUUUAGUAGCAUUAACAAUUGGGAAGCCUUGAGAAACCUUUGGGCAGUCCAAAAUAAUAAAUGAAGAGGACUCUGCCUCAUUAUGCUGCUGUGUGCAUAAAACAGACCACCUGAAGUCUCAGAGGAGAUGUGAAAGAACCACGAUAAUUGCCUACACUACUUUGGACAAACAGCCGAGCAGUACAAAAGAUAAAGAAAAUAAAAGCUUUAUACUACAUAACGAAUGCAAAAGUCCAAGUACCUGCAUAUAGCGUUUGAAACAAUAAACCAAGGAACAGCUUUUCACUAGUGGCGCAAUGAAAAGACUGAUGAAAGUACAGUGUUACAAAAAUGAAAUAAUUUCCACAAGUGAUGAAAUACAAAGCAAGCAUUACAUGCAAUUGCAUUUUAAGGACAGUCAGUCACCAUAAAAUACACCAAUGUCUCAAAAUCUGAUCUUCUUUUUUGGGUAAUGCCUAUGUAGAAGAAUUUGAUGUCAUAAUGAGGAACUAAUUUAAUUGCAUUAUAUUUGUUGCUACAUCAGCUAUUGUCGAGCCAUUAAGUUAAUUACAUGUUAAGUUUUAAACUAGAUGAAACACAUCACGGCAUCUGUUUUUUCCUAUUUACUACAGCAUUCCAGAAUUACCAUGUUGGAAAUGUCUGAGGUUUUGGCAGCUUGCUGUCUUACAAAUAGUUCAUGAAUACAAUUAACCAUCCUUGAGUAGCCUGCAGCAUCGGCAACCAAUCCUUGCCUUACUCGUCAGAAAUAUAGUUAUUGUUCCACACUAAUUCCACCAAACAUUUUUUUCAGACAUUGGCCAUAUUCUCAGUCAGUGAAAAUGCUGAAAACAGAGUGGAUCGCAUUAUACUCGCUGAUGAUCUGGCCACAGAUUUUGGAAUGAAUACUAAUAGAGUCAUUCCAUCUUUAUUAAUGUUCUAUAUGAAGUGAAAAGUGAAAGAAACACAUGAAAAUGUAUUGAGUUCUUAAAGUAAUUGCAUUGGAGGUAUUAUUCUUUUCAUCCAAUGCAUCAGCAUUUUCUUAACAUCAUAUUCUGUUGCAGACCCUAGUAAAAGAAAAGAUCCUUUGUGUAUUAAUGGCUUAUUGUCUGGCACUUUGAUGUUAUGUUUUGCCUGAUCAAAAAAGCUUGCUUUCUUUCUCAAAUAAGAUCUGAGUGCAUGUUUUCAGAUGCUUAAAAAAAACCCAACAUGUUUUGGAAACCUUAACAUGUAAGUGAAUCAUGUAUGUAAGACUUAUAGGCUGUAAUAAACUUAUGUUUAUUCUGU